GUUCAAUAAAACAUUACCAAAUGCUUGAAAAGCUUGGAUUAAAGCAAAUGUAAAAUGUAUAACUUUGUAACAAUGUUUGUAAAUGUAUUCUUUACUAUGAACGUGUGAACAAGGGUUAUUAAAACAGACAAGACAAUUAGGAGGAAUGUUAACAUAUGGCAGAAAAAUAUGGAAUUGUCAGUCUGAAUUAUGGGAAAAUGACUAAGCAAAGGAAGAAACACUGAGUCAUUCUAGUUGGCAUCUAGCCAAAACAGGUGACGUGCCUGCACAUACGCAACACUCAAUUUGCUGAGUAAGUGUUGCAUCAUAUACAGGUAUAUAGGUAGGUAGUUAACAAACCUAUGUUGUUGGGUUAUUCAUGGAGAAGCAGUGUGUUACUUUGUCAGUCAGCAUCUUGGAGUAUUGGACUGGAAUGGACUGUGAUUGCUAUUUUCUGCACUGCCGAUUCUGAAGAGGAAGGGAAGUCCUAGUGAUGAGUCUUGGAGUCUCAACAUGGCAAGACUAAGAAAAUAAGAGAAUGGGAACUGCUGGUGAUGAUUUCCCAAUUUUCAACUAAAAUUUCAUCUGAAAACUCCCAAAGUCUUCCUCAGAGUAAAAGGGAUCCCUGAAGACCCAUGGAACCUGAAGACGACAGGAAUAGGAAGCUUUAGAUUAACAUAAGGUUCAUGGUGUUGGUUGAUGGUCUCAUAACCUUUUAUGUGGCAUAGUUGCCCCAACUGGAUUUCAGCCAUUGGGUUAACUGGAAACAUGAUGAAUUAGAUGUUCGAAUAUUAUAUAAUUUUGGAGUGGCCCUAUGGUACAAUUUUAUUGCAAGGAGAUGACCAUGUGCCAAGAAAGAACCACAUAAUUUAGACCAGUUUCCCUGUGAUGUGGGAUAUCAGAACUGGUUCGUCAUACUCCUUUCAUAAAAUGUAAAAGCAACAACAAGGAGAUGGUAGAUGAAUUUGCUCAAGGCAGGACUACUGAAGGAGAGGAUGUGGAAUUCUCCCACUGAGUCCUAUUCCAAAUAAAAUCACCCUCCAACACUCCUAAUAGCCUUGC
rnacentral:lncRNA from 1 species